rnacentral:rRNA from 1 species
GACGAACGCUGGCGGCGUGCUUAACACAUGCAAGUCGAACGGAAAGGCCCUGCUUUUGUGGGGUGCUCGAGUGGCGAACGGGUGAGUAACACGUGAGUAACCUGCCCUUGACUUUGGGAUAACUUCAGGAAACUGGGGCUAAUACCGGAUAGGAGCUCCUGCUGCAUGGUGGGGGUUGGAAAGUUUCGGCGGUUGGGGAUGGACUCGCGGCUUAUCAGCUUGUUGGUGGGGUAGUGGCUUACCAAGGCUUUGACGGGUAGCCGGCCUGGGAGGGUGACCGGCCACAUUGGGACUGAGGUACGGCCCAGACUCCUACGGGAGGCAGCAGUGGGGAAUAUUACACAAUGGGCCGAAGCCUGAUGCAGCAACGCCGCGUUCGGGAUGACGGCCUUCGGGUUGUAAAACGCUUUCGCCUGUGACGAAGCGUGAGUGACGGUAAUGGGUAAAGAAGCACCGGCUAACUACGUG